rnacentral:rRNA from 1 species
CAUGUUUCCAUACGAUCACAGAAUUUAAGCAACGUCGAACCUUGUCAGUACCUAGAUGGGUGACCUCUUGGGAAAAACAGGUGUUGUAAG